rnacentral:pre_miRNA from 1 species
AUUGCUCACUCUCCCUCAAGGGCUUCCGAAUUUGCCUGCACUUAAAAAGGGCAUGAACGGAAGCGCUUGAGGAGAGUGGCCAA